UACAAAGGUAGCAUAAUCAUUAGUUUUUUAAUUGAAAGCUGGAAUGAAUGGCCGAAUAAGGAAGUAACUGUCUCAUUUUGAUUUGUUAGAAUUUUAUUUUUGAGUUAAAAAGCUUAAAUUUUAUAAAAAGACGAGAAGACCCUAUAGAGUUUAAUAGAUUUAGGUUACUUAUAUUUAAGGUUUAUAUUUUAUUUGUAAAUUAGUCUAUUUUGUUGGGGUGACAACUGAAUUUACUGAACUUCUUGUUUUGAUAACAUUGAUUUAUGUAUAUAUGAUCCUGAUUUUUGGAUUAAAAGAUUAAAUUACCUUAGGGAUAACAGCGUAAUUUUUUUGGAGAGUUCUUAUCGAUAAGAAAGGUUGCGACCUCGAUGUUGGAUUAAAGUUUAUUGUUGGUGAAGAAGCUAAUAUAUUAAGACUGUUCGAC
rnacentral:rRNA from 1 species